AAAUUACAGUAACUAAUUACUUAGUAACUAGUUACACCCAACACUGAUUGCAGUAUACCCAAAGUACCCAAAACGCGUUCACAAUUGAGCAAGAAUAGCUGGAAGGAGGCGGAUUUACUGACAGCCCAUGCACGAUUAAUUGGAGUCUUCUUCUGUAAACUCAAGAUUUGAAGAAACUCCCUCAUCCAUCACCGCAGACGAUUUUUCAUGCGCGGCAUCAACAAAAACACGCGGGCGCGCACGCACACUCACAGACGGGUUUGAGUGAGAGGGAAGGGCUGGUGGUCGCUCGGCGCUCAGACGAAUGAGGGCAUUAGGAUUCAGGAAGCGUAGCGCUCGCACUUCAACCCUGGCAGCGACUCAGAGAGCGCAUUCAACCCCUCACCCCCUCCCUCGACAGAGCCACGCGGUGGUACGACCCGCGCCGCUGCCAGCAGCGCUGCCUCGCGCUUCCCGCCGGCUCCGUAUCCAGGAUACGGCAUACUGCUGGCAGCGAUUCAAAAGAACGAGCCGUUAGCGGCGGCGCCGAGCCGUUAACGAGCCCAAACGGGAACCUCUCGCACCGCGGCGUACGGGAGACCGAAGCACACGAUCCUGGAGAUUAGGGAGGUGGCGGGGUUUACUCAGCCGAAGACCUGUCAGCUCGAUACACACCUUCAGAUUCUUGACUUCCUGUUCAGAGGGCUGUGGCCACGCGUCUGCGGAGGAAGAUACAAGACUUGAGGGUCCGGAUUCCUGUCGGAUAAACCAUUCCUCCAUGAACACGGAGACUUUCCCGCAUCAGGCUGGUCCGAUCGAUGCCGAGCGCACUGAGAGGGUUCAUUCUUCCCCUCUGUGACCCGCUCUUUCAUUGAGCCAGCGGGGGCGCGGACAUUAUGCAUUUGAGGGGCGCUUCGGUAAGAAGGCUACUCACCCCCCACGGAGGAAAGAAACCUCCGCUCUCAAAGACAUCAAUCAAAAACCACCGCGCCGGGCGCUUUG